UCUCGUCGAGACGAAGCCGUAGACACCGACCACGCCGCAAUCGGAGUUCAGACGAAGCCGUACGCGCCUCCAAAAGUUACGCCGACUGCGCGCGUUUCUUCCACGCGCCGCCGCCGGAUAUCGCCUCCGCCGUCUUCCGCCACCGUCCUCCGCCGCAUCUCCGCCGCUGCCAGAAGUCGCCUCCGCCGCAGCUCCGCCGCCGCCGGGAAUCGCCUCCGCCGUCGCCGCCGACAAACUUUCCGAUAUGGAGUCUAUUUGAGCAGCUGGAGUUCAUAAACACUAUUUUUCUAUUGCUAAGGUGAGACAAAUAAGUAUGUGAUAUUUGGACGGACUUGGUGCUACUGGACUUUUCUUUCGGAUUUUAUUUGGGCUUGGGUGAGCGUUAUUGGGUUUAUGGGCUUUUAUAUUAUGGGAUAUUGUUGGUGGCCCGUCGUCCUUAGUGAGAAGGAGACGGAUGUCACAUUGUUGUAUGAUGACGCGUCGGUGGUGACACGCUGUCCUCCAGAUAGGAGGUGACGGGUGUCGCAAUUUUGGUAUCAGAGCGGGGUUCCAUCCCGGUUCCGUCCGGGAUGGCGGUCAGGGGAUUCGGUUUUCAUCGGUUUUCAACGUUCUUUUUG